GACGAACGCUGGCGGCGUGCCUAAUACAUGCAAGUCGAACGCAGUGGGGACGGGUGAGUAACACGUGGGUAACCUCCCAUCAGAGGGGAUAACACUUGGAAACAGGUGCUAAACCGAUAUUGAUGGCUGGACCCGCGGUGCAUUGGCUAGUUGGUGAGGUAACGGCUCACCAAGGCCACGUUGCAUAGCCGGCCGGAGAGGGGGAUCGGCCAAACGUGGACUGAGACACGGCCCAGACUCCGAAGGGAGGCAGCAGGAGGGAAUCGUCGGCAAUGGACGAAAGUCUGACCGAGCAACGCCGCGUGAGUGAAGAAGGUUUUCGGAUCUUAAAACUCUGUUGUUAGAGAAGCGGUAUCUAACCAGAAAGCCACGGCUAACUACGUGCCAGCAGCCGCGGUAAUUC
rnacentral:rRNA from 1 species